UAGGGUAAUAAAUUAUUUAAUUUGACAGAAACCAAAUUACCACAUGUAGGGAAUGCCCUGAGCAAUGCAAGGAAGUUAUCUCUACAAAUCUAGUAUGGAGAAAUGGACAUUAAUAUCCCUCAAUAUUCUCUACAACCUAUCGAUUUUUCUUUCAUGAUUAACGAGCGUCAAAGUUAUCAUGAGAAGCCUAGAUGCCACGUACCAGACCUUCAUUCACCCCCAAUUUCAAUCUUCCGAGGAUGACGUCACGCGAAUUUGUUGGAUCAGCAAAGUUACGUCUCAAAUCAGUGACCCCAAAUUAGAGAUUUGAUUCGGUAUAAUUUUUUAGUGGCUGUGUGCAAGGAGGAAAAAGGUGGCAUGUUAUCAUUAAUUUCAACUCAUCUAGAAAACUGCACAUAAUACUUGUGCGUAUAUAGUUAAGCAGAGACAUGUAUGCAUCUAAGUUCUUUUUUAUUUCGAAUGGCAGAACUUUACUUUGAUUAUAGAACUAUUUUUUAUUUGCUCAACUAUGGUAAUCCAGUUAAUUACUGCUUAAUUUCCAUUUAAUAAGAAACGAGAUCUAGAGAGAGGAGACGAUGGAAGCUUCUCAGUAUUGUGUAAUCGAUGUUGUUGCGUACUCGUCGUUCUGAUGCUAUUACAUGCCCGUUACUGGUCUAAAACAGUUGUCUUUUGGUUAGGUGAUAUAUAAGUUCUGAAGUUUGGGUUUUCUUAGGACGACAGGCUGGUCCUGAUUGUGGAGCCUAAGAUAUUAUUAGACGGUGAACAUGGAACCGAUAGGACAUUCGUGGUUGAAAAAAAAAGUGUGGGCUGAGCCUGAGGUGUUCUUUUACCUGGCUGAGAACAAUGUGUUGUUUGAAGGAAUCCUUUUGAAGCCGAGCAUGGUUACACCUUGAGCCAAUUGCAAGGACAAAGCCACACCUCAACAAGUCGCGGAUUACACUCUCAAACUUCUCAAACAUAAAAUCCCACGUG